UGGGAUGUAGCUCAGUGGUAGAGUGCUUGCCUAGCAUGUAUGAGGGCGUGGGUUCAAUCCCCAGCACUUCAG
rnacentral:tRNA from 1 species